rnacentral:rRNA from 1 species
UACGUAGGGGGCAAGCGUUAUCCGGAUUUAUUGGGCGUAAAGGGAACGCAGGCGGUCUUUUAAGUCUGAUGUGAAAGCCUUCGGCUUAACCGGAGUAGUGCAUUGGAAACUGGGAGACUUGAGUGCAGAAGAGGAGAGUGGAACUCCAUGUGUAGCGGUGAAAUGCGUAGAUAUAUGGAAGAGCACCAGUGGCGAAAGCGGCUCUCUGGUCUGUAACUGACGCUGAGGUUCGAAAGCGUGGGUAGCAAACAGG